AAACGAAGGUGUGGUUUAUACAGAACAUCUGAAGAUCAGCCCUAGCUCUUCCUGGCCGAGUAAUCUGCUCUUUGCAGCUCAGCAAGCGCGAGGUAUGUACGGGCCACACCAGGAUGAAUGGUGGCAUCUAUCCCUGCACGGGACCUCGUGGUCGCUUGACUUCUUCAGGGUUCUGGCAGGCGACUUUGGCUGGCUUCCUAAUGUCCUAACGAUGAAGGCUGGCCAUCUGAACCCGAGAUGAACCGGGACCGAGGCUGGAGUGAAACAGCGUCGGGGGACUCCGUAGGGCAUGCAAAGAGUUCGAACUGGAAUGUCAAUCCCUUGACUCUCACACCACAGGCCCCAGGAUCUCAGUUUAGACUUGCAAUAGUCUCCGAAGAUUUGCGCCAGAAGACAGAUAUAAAUGAACACUUCACCCUCCAAAUAUAACGCUGAAGCCAACACUUGAAAUCGAGGGUGGAAAAAUUGCACUUCCUUCUCAAUGGGUACCUCUUUGCUGGCGAGCAGCGUCAACGUCCUGCAAGAGUUAAAGCAAAGUCACCGGGACAUGAGUUAAGUUUUUAAAAUGCCAUUUACCAUCCCCCCCCCCCAAAAAAAGUCUGCAUGUAGCAGUACAUUUCUCACUUUGUGGAAGUCUUGGAAAGACAUGCUAGUUCUCCAGUUCCGUCAGUAGUGAAAAUGCCUUCACACAGGCCUGUAGCUGAUGACACGGUAGUGAAAGCUUUCCAAACACUAAUUGGAAAUUAAAAAUAAUCUUGACAACACCUCAGAGCAUCAUAACUAUGUUUCAUCACCUUCGACAUUCAUUAUCACUCGCCACACACACAUAUGUUAAUGGAGAAACUGUUUGCGAUUGUCUUCUGGUGCCAUUUCUCUCUUUUAAUCUUGCUGAGUUAUUUUUGGAUGGCGAACACCUUGUGAUUUCAAAUUGUGAUUUUACUCUCGGCUUAUUGCAUAAAACUCCAUGGAAGUCUUAAUUUUUUGGGUGGGAUAUUCUUUAGAGAAUGUUUGA